AUUAAACGAAAAUACAGAACAAAAGGGAAUUGUAGAACAUUCUGUGAAAAUAGGAGGAAAAAAGGGGAAUUUGUGGAUAUAGUCUGUUCAGAGGGAGUCUAUUUUCAGUUUGUUACAAUGGGCCAUACAGACAGAUCCUUUGAUAUGUUCUGUCACGCUUGGUCCAUGGACAUCAUGGUCAAACAAGCAUUUGCAUAGUUUACCGACAGGGCCGGACUUGCCCACCGGGAUACCGUGAAAUUUCCUGGUGGGCCGUGGCAUUUGGGGCCGCACAGUGCAGCAGCCCUUCCUACCCCUACCCAGUACACACACUCACAUUAGGGGGCCUGAGGAGCAAGGGUCCCUUCUUACCUCUAGGAGGCACUUUACUUGAUCCACUUGUGAGCAGCAAGUGCUGGAAAUUGAACUCUCGAUGCUGCUCGCGAGUGAGACAUAAUGAGCACACACCCGGCAGGAUCCUGGAGAAAGUGCAG